GUGACCGGAUCAGGCACCUUCUGUAAAGCUCCUUCGACCAGUCGAGUUGUUUGGGAAUGCAACUCUAAAUGGGAGGUAAAUUUCUUCUAAAGCUAAAUACUGNCGAGAGACCGAUAGCGCACAAGUAGAGUGAUCGAAAGAUGAAAAGUACUUUGGAAAGAGAGUUAAAAAGCACGUGAAAUUGUUGAAAGGGAAGCGCUUGCAAUCAGACUUGGCCUCGGUUGUUCAACCGGUCUUUUGACCGGCCUAUUCAAUCGGGGGCAGGCCAGCAUCAGUUUUGGCGGCCGGAUAAAGGCCUUGGGAAUGUGGCCUCUCCUCCGGGGGAGGUGUUAUAGCCCAGGGUGUAAUACGGUCAGCCGGGACUGAGGUCCGCGCUUCGGCUAGGAUGCUGGCGUAAUGGUUGUAAGCGNCCCGUCUUGAAACACGGACCANGGAGUCUAACAUNUAUGNGAGUGUUAGGGUGUCAAACCCUUACGCGUAAUGAAAGUGAACGGAGGUGGGAACCCGCAAGGGUGCACCAUCGACCGAUCCUGAUGUCUUCGGAUGGAUUUGAGUAAGAGCAUAGCUGUUGGGACCCGAAAGAUGGUGAACUAUGCCUGAAUAGGGUGAAGCCAGAGGAAACUCUGGUGGAGGCUCGCAGCGGUUCUGACGUGCAAAUCGAUCGU
rnacentral:rRNA from 1 species